rnacentral:rRNA from 1 species
UACGUAGGGGGCAAGCGUUGUCCGGAUUUAUUGGGCGUAAAGAGCGUGUAGGCGGUUAGGUAGGUCCGUUGUGAAAACUCGAGGCUCAACCUCGAGACGCCGAUGGAAACCAUCUAACUAGAGUCCGGAAGAGGAGAGUGGAAUUCCCGGUGUAGCGGUGAAAUGCGCAGAUAUCGGGAGGAACACCGGUGGCGAAGGCGGUUCUCUGGGCCUUACCUGACGCUGAGGAGCGAAAGCGUGGGGAGCGAACAGG